UACGUAGGCAGCAAGCGUUGUUCGGAAUUACUGGGCGUAAAGAGUGUGUAGGCGGUGUUCUAAGUUUGUCGUGAAAUCUCCCGGCUUAACUGGGAGGGUGCGGCGAAAACUGGAAUGCUAGAGGAUGGGAGAGGUAAGCGGAAUUCCACGUGUAGCGGUGAAAUGCGUAGAGAUGUGGAGGAACACCUGUGGCGAAGGCGCCUUGCUGGCCGAUUUCUGACGCUGAGGCGCGAAAGCGUGGGGAGCAAACAGG
rnacentral:rRNA from 1 species